CAGCAGCCACGGUAAUACGGAGGGUGCAAGCGUUAUCCGGAUUUAUUGGGUUUAAAGGGUCCGUAGGCGGAUCUGUAAGUAAGUGGUGAAAUCUCACAGCUUAACUGUGAAACUGCCAUUGAUACUGCAGGUCUUGAGUAAAUUUGAAGUGGCUGGAAUAAGUAGUGUAGCGGUGAAAUGCAUAGAUAUUACUUAGAACACCAAUUGCGAAGGCAGGUCACUAAGAUUUAACUGACGCUGAUGGACGAAAGCGUGGGGAGCGAACAGGAUUAGAUACCCCAGUAGUCCCUGUCUCUUAUAC
rnacentral:rRNA from 1 species